rnacentral:miRNA from 14 species
GGUUUCUCUGUGUAGCCCUGGCUGUCCUGGAACUCACUCUGUAGACCAGGCUGGCUUUAAACUCAGAGAUUCACCUGCCUCUGCCUCCCAAGUGCUAGGAUUAAAGGCCUGUGUCACCACUGCCAG